rnacentral:sRNA from 1 species
GUCAGGUGUAGUGGUGCACGCCUGUAAUUCCAGCAACUCAGGAGGCUGAGGUAGGAGGUUCACAAGUUUGAGGCCACCCUCAUCAACUUAAUGAGACUCUGUCUCAG